GAUGAACGCUGGCGGCAUGCCUAAUACACGCAAGUCGAGCGAACAGACGAGGAUCUUGCUCCUCUGACGGUAGCGGCGGACGGGUGAGUAACACGUGUAUAACCUAACUAUAGGACUGUGAUAGCUUCGGGAAACAGGAGCUAAUACCGGAUAAUAUAUCGAGCCGCAUGGUUCAAUAGUUAAAUACGGUUUUGCUUUCACUUAUAGAUGGAUCCGCGCCGCAUUAGCUAGUUGGUAAGGUAACGGCUUAACAAGGCUACGAUGCGUAGCCGACCUGAGAGGGUCAUCAGACACACUGGAACUGAGACACAGUCCAGACUCCUACGGGAGGAAGCAGUCGGGAAUCUUACGCGAUGGACCAAAGCCUGACGGAGCAAAGCCGCGUGAGUGAUGAUGGUCUUCGGAUCGUAAAGCUCUGUUAUUCGGGAAGAUCAAAUGUGUAAGCAACUAUGCACGUAUUGACGGUACCAACACAGAAAGCCACGGCUAACUCCGUG
rnacentral:rRNA from 1 species